rnacentral:misc_RNA from 1 species
UCCUGCUUUCGCAGGCAGUCCCACCAGAGUGCGUCUUACGACUAGCAACUGAUGGCAAGGGUUGCGCUCGUUAAAGGACUUAACCCAACAUCUCACGACACGAGCUGACGACAGCCAUGCAGCACCUGUGCAGCUGUCUCGACCGAAGCCGAGAAGAUCGUAUUUCUACGACUGUCAGAAGCAUGUCAAGUCCAGGUAAGGUUCCUCGCGUAGUGUCGAAUUAAACCACAUGUUCCACCGCUUGUGCGGACCCCCGUCAAUUCCUUUGAGUUUUAAUCUUGCGAUCGUAGUUCCCAGGCGAAUCACUUAACGCGUUAGCUUUGAUACCAAUCCGGCUAAGCCGAACUAACAUCUAGUGAUUAUCGUUUACAGCGUGGACUAC